CAAAUAUAAGACACAGUUAUGGUGAAAAAUUAUCUUUACUGUAUUUUGAAAUAUGAAGUAUAUUAGAUUAAUGUGCUAAUAAGCAUCACUCACAUUUUGUCCUUGAGGUUUUGUUUUGUUUGCUCUGUAAUCCAUGGUUGGCAAACUGUGAAGAACAAGAUAAUAAAUAUUUUAUGUUAGGCUUUGUGGACCAUACAGUAUCUAUUUCAACUACUAAACUUUGCUGUUAAAGCAUGAAAGUAGCCAUAGACAAUAUAUAAAUGAAUGACUUUUGUUGUGUUCAAAUGAAGCUUUAUCUGUGGAAACUGAAAUUUGAAUUUUAUGUAAUUUUCACUAUCACUAAAUAUUUUUCUUCUUGUAAUCUUUUUCUCCAACCAUUUAGAAAUAUAAAAACCAUUCCUAGCCUGCAGGCCAUAGAUAAACAUUUGGUGGGCUAGAUUUGACCUGGGGACCAUAGUUUGCCCAUGCGUUGGAUAGUCUACAGAACACAGUCCACCGAUUGAAGUUUAUAUUUGGUUAUUACUUUAAGAGAACUCAGAGAAGUUGAAAAUUUAAGUCGUUGAGAGUGUAGGAGAUUGUCUCAAUAGCGAUCACUGAUGGUCAAUUUCAAUUAUCUAAAGAUUUUAGGAAAUAAGUAUAAAUUUGAAUCCCUUCUAGCCUCAACUAUAGUGUUAGUCUUUUCUCUAUAAUUUUCUUGUUUUAUUUUUUAUUUUUAUUUAUUUAUUUUUGAAACAGGGUCUUGCUCUGUCACCAGGGCUAGAGUGGAGUGGUGGAACACAGCUCGCUGAAGCCUCGACUUGCCAGACUCAAGCAAUGCUCCUGCCUCAGCCUCCAGAGUAUAAAUUUGAAUCCCUUCUAGCCUCAACUAUAGUAAGAUAUUUAUCUAGAGAAUAAUCGAGGAAAGUUGAGAUAGAGACAAUCAGAUCAGAUGAAAGGGACAUCAGGAAAGGCAUUGUGAUAUGGAAGACCCCAACAAGCCCAAUAUCAUAAUUAAUUUCAAAGACCGUGAGAGAGUGGUAAAACUACCAGGCAACUGAUUCAGCAGGGCUGCCACACUGAUGUAGCUUCUUGGCUUUAUUCCAACCCUUAACAUUUUUUUCCCCCUAAACUAGAAAAUAGUUCAGAAAACUUACAUAUAUUGUAUCCCUGCUUUUGCAUUUACUCUGGAGAAGACUACCAUUUUGUUCUACAUAGCACUUAUAUUUCUAUGUUAUGUAUGUUUCUAUGUAAUUUCUAUGAAGUGAGUAUUUCAUUCAUGAUUAGUUUUUCCACUAUUUCGUUUGCACUAAUUUUUUUUCUGUCUUCUUCAACCUACUGUUCGUUUAUUAAGUAAUCUCGACUGUCUGUGUCAUCUUUAGUCCUUCUUCAGUCCUACAACUUCUUUUCAAUACUGCAGUCAUGAUGAUCCUUAAAAUUGAGAGGAUCAUAUCGCUUCUAAUUUAAAACUCCCUAGUGGCUUCCCUUGAGAUUUCUACAAGAUUCUAUUUUUUCCCACUGAUAAAACAUUAAGCUUCCUUUAUUGAUUGCUACAGGAUCAAUUUUGAAAAUAAUUCAUAUAUAUUUUAAAAAAUGCACUUUCUCCAUUUGUUAGGUAAUGGUUCUACAUAUAUCUGUUAAAUCAAGAUUGUUAAUUGUGUUGUUUUAACCUACAUCCCUACUAAUAUUCUAUGUAUUUUCGGAAAGAAGUAUGUGGAAAUCCAAGGUGUUACCUAUUUUUUAUUUUCUUCUUGUUAUUUUUGUCAGGUUUUGGCCUUGAUGUUUGAGACUUUAUUUUAAGAAAUAUUCAUACUUAUGAUUGUUAUGUCUUUUUAGACCAUUGUUUCCUUUAUGAAUGAAUAAGAUCAUGUUUUAUCCUUAUUCAUAUUUUUUGUCUUUUAUUUCUAUCAAAGCGUUGUUUUGGUAAAUAUUUGCCUGGUCUUAUUCCCCAUCAUUUUAUGUUAACAUUUCUGUCUCAUUGUGUUAUAAACUUGUCUUUGGUAAAUAUAGUGAUGUUGUAGGUAAUCCAGUAUCAGAAUUUUGACUUUAAUGUUUAAUUGAUUUUCAUAUAUUCUAAUUGUUAAUGUGUUUGAUUAUAAUUCUAUUACCUUAUGCUAUGUUUUUCCUGGAUUUUUAUUUGUUAUUGUUGUUUUAUUGUUUUAUCUCUCUUUCUCUGAAUUGUUCUCCUCCACUUCAUGCCUGUGAU